AUUGAACGCUGGCGGCAGGCCUAACACAUGCAAGUCGAACGAGUGGCGGACGGGUGAGUAAUGUCUGGGAAACUGCCUGAUGGAGGGGGAUAACUACUGGAAACGGUAGCUAAUACCGCAUACCAUCAGAUGGGCCCAGAUGGGCUGAGCUAGUAGGUUGGGUAAUGGCCUACCAAGCCGACGAGCUCUAGCUGGUCUGAGGGGAUGACCAGCACAAUCGGGCCUGAGAACAGUCCCGGACUUCUACGGGAGGCAGCAGUGGGGAAUAUUGCGGCAUGGGGGCAACCCUGACGCGGCCAUGCCGCGUGAAUGAAGAAGGCCUUCGGGUUCUAAAGUUCUUUCGGUGACGAGGCGUUAAUCACAGAAGAAGCACCGGCUAACUCCGUGCCAGCAGCCGCGGUAAUUCC
rnacentral:rRNA from 1 species